GUGCACGCUGCUUCGAUGUGUUUGUUUGAUCGUGUGUUUUUAGGUUUGCCGUAAUGAAAUGUGGUGUAUUUCGUGUGCACGAAAGUGCCGGAAGGUAGCCUGCGUCUCGCUGCAAACUCGCCGUAUGCGUGGCGCGCCAGGCAAAUGUGGACCAACGAUUUUCAUGCCGUGGAGUGUGUUCCCUUUGUCUUGGGUGGCCGUGGAAAGUUUUGUGGACGUCGCGAUGAAAUAAUGCGUAUUAUUAGCGUGCCUCAGCUCGUCCAUUACGCAACGGCAUGUAUGCUGGAUCAACAUCGUCGACGCAGCACUGGCAACUCGGAGAGCUCUUUUCGAUCUCAUUGUACUGUUCAAAAGUGGUCAGGCCUUGGCCCGCAACAGUGUCCACUAAAAGGAGGAGCCCCGAGAAAUGCUGACCCCAUACGAGUGCCUGCAGCAGCAUGGCUCGAUGCUCAUGUCAGGCUUCACCGUGGCAGAGUACCAGGCGGAACCAACGAGGUUAAAAGCUAGCCUUUCCUCGCUGCUUUACCAGGAAGUGAAGUAGUGGGCGAUCAUGUAAGAAUGAACUUGCAACAUGUGAGCAGUAGCCAAAGCUUCAUACAGGUCAUGCUGGUGGUAAAAACUGGAAUGCUGAGACAAACCACAUUAUUUAUUUAUUUAAGUAUUAAAUAAUUUACAUUUAUUUGUUUAUACCUCACUAAAGCCUUACAUGCCUCCAGGAAGUAAUUAGGUAAAAUGGGAAAACAUUAUUACAUCAAAGUAAACACGUUAUUCAAAAAAGCAUCAUUCGCAUAGCACAAGCAUGAUGUAACAUUUUUUAUUCAGGGGACGUUUCAUACAAACCACGAAAAUUCCAAGAACCGAAGCUAUUAAGUUAACAACUCUUACUAAAAAACAGUGAUAUCUGUUGACGGAUCAUACACUGCUCUAAAAUACAAUAAUUAAUUUGUGAGUGCAAAAUGCUUACAAACAUUGGAACAUUUACUCAAGCUGUAAAUUCAUAUAUCAAAUUCCUUGACUUAAGACAUAGCUGAUCUAGUCUGCAGAACUGUGAUAUGUGUUUUUAUUGCAGAGUUGGGGAUUAUUAAACUUCGGGGUGCUUUUACUUUUCUUUAAACACGCCUAUUUUAAAAAAUUUUUACUUUAGGCUCGGAAUUGAAAUUCUUCCAACUGCUAGGCCUUAACUUUCUCAAAUGCUACAAAUUUAAUUCAAAUAGCCCUGUGGUUGUCUCAAAACCAUUUAGGAAUUUCACACGUAUUUAAGGAGGGACAUCGGAGUAUGUCCUUAGCUAAAGCUCGAGGCCAAUUCCGAUUUGCAGAACAGAAUUGUGCUUGCUAGUUUUUUUUUGUGAAUUAUAGUUCAAAACAUGAUAACUUUUUUUAAUUGUGCAAUUUUCAACCAUUCUUAAUAAAAAUUGAUGGUCUAAAUGUAAAUAACAACAAUGAAAAUGUUUUAAAUAACAAACAUCAAGUUCAGUCCCGUGGUUACCGAGAAAAACGAUUUCACUUUUCACAUGCAUAGGAGCUCCUGAGCUAAAUCGUUUUCUUAGGUAUUGGUGUACGUCAGUAAUGUUUGUAUUUCCCAGCAUAAUUUUGGAAUAUUGAGCCUGAUCUCAAAAUUUGCCUUAUAACAACAUUCAAGCUUAUUCGGCUUUGUACAAUAUAUGAUGCACUUCUCCAGGAGUACCACUGUUUACUGCAUUUUUACAAGGACUACCAGUGUUCUUUUUAUACUUCAAAAUAGGCCAGAAUGCUGUGGUUUGUAAGUUUAGUGUGGUUUUGGUGGAGCUGACGCAUAACAUUGCAGUGCACAUAUACUUGUGCACAUUGAUAUGAAUCUACUUUCAGGCUUUAGUAUCCAACCAUUUAAUGUGCACUGAGCAGGUCCUUCUGCGGUUUUAAUGCGAAGCUUUCUUGUUUUAGACAAGCCUGCUUUUCUCAGAUGUCAACUCCAGUCGAGUGUGCCACAAAUGUUUUCCUGUUUCGUAUGUUAGCACCACCAGCUUGAUCCGUGAAGCGCAUUGGCAGCUACAGUUUGUGUGUUGCAAGUUCUACAGUCUGCAUGUAUGCAGACUGUUCUGAAGUGUGUAUGUAGUAUGUAUGAUGCAUGUAUCUAGUCUGAAGUGCAAUAAACGUUUA